AAAUCAAAGUUUUUGGGU
rnacentral:siRNA from 1 species